UACGUAGGGUGCAAGCGUUGUCCGGAAUUAUUGGGCGUAAAGAGCUCGUAGGCGGUUUGUUGCGUCGGCUGUGAAAUCCCGAGGCUCAACCUCGGGUCUGCAGUCGAUACGAGCAAACUAGAGUGUUGCAGGGGAGACUGGAAUUCCUGGUGUAGCGGUGAAAUGCGCAGAUAUCAGGAGGAACACCGGUGGCGAAGGCGGCUCUCUGGGACGGUACUGACGCUGAGACGCGAAAGCGUGGGUAGCAAACAGG
rnacentral:rRNA from 1 species